rnacentral:lncRNA from 7 species
GGGAGCCGCCGAACAAAGGAAUCUGUUGCCGUGUGUGACAUCUCUUGCGAGCUCCCAGAGAGAACUGAUGGAGCAUACAGCUAGGGAAUAGGAUGCUGGAGAAGCUCAGGGGGAGACGCCAGGCAAUCACCAGGUAA